ACAAAUGCCGCAAUCCAUAAUCCAAUAAUUCAUAAGGAAAACCAAAGCCUUACUUAAGCAGAUCUGCACCCAUAUGGAGAAAUUAACCCAUAAGUAGAUCCUAGCUAGCAAGAGCUUAGCUUCUCAAACCCUCGACAAGACUCGUCACAUUUGUUCUGCAGGAAGACUUGUUCGUCAAGAAAGAGAAUCAAGAAGAGGAUGAGAUCAACGGAGGAUGUAAUAUUUGGUUAUAAUAGAGGUUUUGUAAUCUGCAGUGAGGUUGUGUUUAUUUUUAUAUAUCGUGGAAAAAGUGGAGGAUGUAAUGAGGCGACGAAAGAUCGUUGGUUCAAAGCAUCUGCCGGGUUUUGGGAAGGCAAAGGAACUUAGUUCAAUACCUAUUGGGUUUUAAAACAGACUGGGCUUAUCAUCUCUAUUCCUUUUUUCAGAUUAGCCCGACCCAGCCCAAAUAACAGCCAUAUUUUCAGCAAGCUACGCUGAACAGUGUGACUAGCUUAAUAGUUUACACAGUUCACAGUUGCAUCUUUCAAUUUCAUAAAAAAAUGGCGAGGACAUGGUUUUCCAGAACCUUCUCCCCCGGCCCACCGCUUCUCACUCUCCGCGUUUGCAUCGUUGGAAGUGGACCCGCCGGCUUCUACACGGCCGAGAAGGUAAAGCCUUGGAUUCUAGAGGUUUUGUAGAGUUAAGUGAGAGGAACUUGAAGUUUGUGAGUUCAUACAUAAUGUAAUUGAGCAGUAUGAAAUUUUUGAAUGCUUGUUUGUUGAGUGUUUAGCGUCAUUUUGUGCUUCCCACGAUUCGUUCGUUUAGUACCUCUUAUGUUUGAGCUUAUUGUGAUCAGAAAACUUGCAACUGAUUGAAUGCUCAUUCUUUGGAAAUGUCACUCUUGGAUCCUCUGUCACUCUUCCCGAGCUCCGCCAGCUGUAUGAUGUGGUGAGUUUCUAGCUCAAUAAUGCGAAUUCGUUCUUGUUGUGGUUGUUUGUUUGAACAAGUUAUUUAUGCAAUUGAGCAGGUUGUGCUUGCCGUAUGGCGCUGAGAGUGAUAGAGUUCUUGGUAUACCAGGAGAGGUAUGUAUUGCUUGUUUCGAUUUUUUUUUCUGCCGUUCUUUGUACAAUAUACUGGAUAGUGUUAAUUCAAAAUGAAUGUGGGGAUCAAACUUAGAGGGUGUGAAAUGGUAAUAUAUCUUAUUGUAUAGGAGGGCCUAAAUAAGAUCAAGCCUUCAUUAGGGUGAUUACAGCGCAGCUUUCCUUGCUUGAGUUUUGACCGACAUGGCAGGUUGCAAGCAUAUCUGAAGACCUUAAGCAAGGCAUAGUAUCCUCAUCAUCUAACUCAGGCAAGGAAGGUCUCCUCCAAUUGCUGGGCAACCGAAAUGUAAGAGUUGUACCAUUUAAUAGAUGGGAAAAGAUAGACUCACGAGAAAGAGAGCUUGGAUUUUUGAGAGACAAGCCUCGGGAAAAAUUAGCCACAUUGCAGGAGCUUGAGGAAGCAUCAGAGUAAUUGAAUAUAAAGGAUUAAGGUCGUCUUUAUUAGAGCUUCAGUAGUACAUUGUUUGUAAACUUAGUGAAGAUAACUAUUCGUUAAGAAUGAGCUUUCAUUUGUCAUUGCUAAUAUUUGAACUUCAGGUUUAAUGGUGUUCCUUUUGAAGAAUAUGAUCACGUAUGUAUUUGUAUCCGGUAAAACUUAAUAAAUCGUGAAUCCUGCAUUAACCCUUUGAAGGAUAAAGACAAUGAUACCCAUGUCUUGAAGAAUUGCUAUCAGACAUCUCCUAUAAACAUAUAUUAAGGAUAAUACUAAGAUCAUGCAUGAUUGCUGCAUAAAUAUUCUUUAUAAGAAGAUGAAUUAGAAAUAGAAUCAGGAGAUACUUUAUUCAUAUGGACCGACUACUGCUAUAGAUAUACGCAUGCAUGAUACAGAUCGAUCAAUAACCAAACCAAAAUAGGAAGCUAGCCAACAACAACAACAGCACGUAUGUCUGUAUGUGGCCAUACUUCAAGACUUACAAGGAUGACAUGCAUGCUAUGAACUACGACCCAAUGAUGGCAGGACCCAAAACGGCAUAUUCAUCUCGUUCCAAUUCCAGUUACUUAUAGAAUCAGAGGCGAUUAGUGUAGUUCUGGACUUGUCCCCUAAAUUGAAAAUACCCAUCUCGCUUUUUAAGAUAUCACUAUAAUCUUUCGGAUACUCAUCCCGUCUAACACUUUCUGUAGCAUAGUAUAUGCAGUUCGGCUUGCAGCCAGGAAUACUUAAAGCUAAAACAGACUGGGAUUGGCUCUGACCUAAGAAUAUUGCAUCAUCCCCAAUGCAUUUUACCUCAACCAGCUGAAAGGGGGAUUUGUCUUCCUCGUUGAACACGAUCUUGCAAACGCCAAAGGAGGUUUCUUCAAACUCAUAAAAUCUUUGAACGAGCAAUAGGUCUCCGUUUGUUGACUCCACGAGAUAUUGCUCCCAACAACGUGCAUGGAAAAUAUUCCAAGCAGGUUCUGGUUUAAAACCACUAUACUGUAUCUUCGGCUGUGUAAGGUUAAUGCUAUCAACAUCCAAGGUUAGCAUCCCGGAGCCUACCAACUUAUUUCUGCUUUCAAGAAGCAAGCAGAUUUUGUUUCUAUAAAAUAUAGCAUCAUCAAACUUAAGGAAAUGUUGAUCUAGUCGGUCGAUCGUGAUCCAAGAUUCUUGUCCUCCUUUAAAUAGCGCUAACGUUGGAUUAUAAACAUUUAUAAUUCGUCGUACUACGCCGUUUGGUAUGCGGUGCGUCAAUAGCGCUAACGUUGGAUCAUGAACAUUCAUAUGUCGUCGUACUACGCCGUUUGGCAAUGGUAUGCGGUGCGGCAAUGGUCUAUAUAAUGCAAAUAGCACGUAAUAGUUUUCCGGAUGCAAAGCUGGGUUAGCAGACAAGAUAACUCUGGGGAUCCAUUCUUUAACAUGCUCGAACAUUUCUGGGAUGCAAUGCAUAUAGGGAGGAAGAUGAAUCACCUCUGAUGCUUUUCCGAAAGGGUUUCGCAGAGUUAUUUCAUGAACGAGCUUGAAUCUUCUAUUUUCAGGCCAUUCCCCGGUUGAUUGGAGUGCCGAGGCCAACCAACCUUGGCUAGAGCCACAAAGGUUCUCAUUGUAAGGCAUCGAUAAACGAAUGUUGAUGUUGUUGUAGAUUUUUCUUUCUGAAACGCUAUACAGUAGUCUUUGCUUUGUAUCAUUAUCGGAUUCAUUAGGGGCAAGCAUGAGCAUGGGAAGUAGCUUAGGCUUACUCACCCAACGUUGCUUAGUGCAAUUGUAGAGUUUUGCAACUUGCUGCAGUUCCUUACAAACAGCCGCGAAACGAACAUAAUCGACGAGCUCCAACAACUUAUCAAGAACACAAUACAGAACAUCAGUUGGAAGACAUGAAAUCUGAAGCUUCAUCUCUCUUUGUUCGCAUCCUAAUUGGCCAGUUAUUCGUCGUCUUUUAACAUGUCUCUCUUGAUCUUCUGCUCCUGCUUCUUCGUCUUCUAGACUCAUUGACACCUCAUUCGACCUAGAAAAACCAAUAUCAUCAUCAUGCUCCACCAUCCCUUAUAUCUCUAUGUUUUUCCUCUCUUGAUUUCUUUCUUUUUAUGUUCACACAGAUCAUACCGUUAUAUAGGCAAAUAAAGAAGUCAGAGACACAUUAGGAUUAGGAAACCCUAGCCCUCGGGAAAAGAGUCCAAGUCAGGUUAUGAUUAGGAAGCGUUGGAAAUCUUACAACCGUAUCCGGAGACCGUUAUACAAUGUUAAUUAAGUCAGGAGUUACACGCUAGGUGGCUUCGAUGCAUUAUCUGCACAUUAUUAGAGAUAAGAAUACCAAACCAUAAGGACAACCAAAACCUGAAACGUCUCCCUACUCACUUCGUACAACCUGCAAGAGCUUAAUUAGCUUCUCAAACCCUAAAUGCGGACUACCAAACGACGACGUCACCUUGUUCUGCAGGAAGACUUGUUCGUCAAGAAAGAGAAUCAAGCUAGUAGAGGAUGAGAUGAAUGUGAUGAUAGAUCAUUGGUUCAAAGCAUCAGCCGGGUUUUGCAAAGGCAAAAACUAGACUUUAUACCUGCGAUACUCGCGUGUGAAGGUAACUGUCUUACUUCUUAUAUUCGCUUUUCAUAAUUAUUUACACUUUUUUUUUAAUUUCUUUUUGCUUUUAACUAUAAUAACUUUUUAAGUUAGUUGUUUCAAUCAACUCAUUAAUGAUAGUUUAGGCAAAACAUAAUUUGGUAAAUUUCUUGAACCCCUCGCUUUAUUGUAGUAAAGAUAAAGAUAACAUAAUUUUGAGUCUAAGUUCAACACAAAUUAGGAUUAGUGUCAUUGGACUCGAGUCUAUUCAACACCUAUUGGGUUUUAAAACAUUGGGCUUACCAUCUCUAUUCUUUUUCAAAUUUUGCCCGACCCGACCCAAAUCACAGCCAUAUAUUCAGCAAGCAGAGCUGAACAGAAGGUAAAGCCUUGGAUAUUCGUUUUAGCAAUUGAAGUGUUUUUGGUCUCUGUAAAUUGAAUGACGAUUUCGAAUUUGAUGGAUACAAUUGGUUUCUGAUUUGAAUUAAACUGAAUUAGACGCUGAAGGUGCACUAGGAAACUCAGGUUGAUAUCAUUGACCGGUUGCAUGCCCACGCCUUUCGGGUUGUCCGCUCCCAGGUGAUCAUAUGAUUCCCGAAUUUCAUUGCUAUUUCGGAACUUCUAGAGGUUUUGUAGAGUUAAGUAAGAGGAACUUGAAAUUUGUGAGUUCAUACAUAAUGUUAUUGAGCAAGGAUGAAAUUUUUGAAUGCUUUCGGUGUGCCAAAAUGUACCUCUUAUGUUUGAGCUUAUUGUGAUCAGAAAACUUGCAACUGAGAGUUGCUAUUGGUUUUAAAUAACAUCCUUCCGCUCUCUCUCACAGUCUAGGUAAUAUAAUAAUUCUCUUUUAUCUUUAGUAAUAUUCCCUUCCAUUGGUGUUUUGUGGCUUGUUGCUGUCAUUUGGUAAGGAAGAGAUGAAAAAUAAUUGAAUUUGAAAAAUGGGUUUAUGAGUUGCUGUCUGAGGCUGCUACAUCAAGACCUUCGCAUCCGAGUUCAGAUCCAGUGAACUCCACUUUGUUUUCUUUCGGAAGCCAGAUAAGUUUCUGAAAUCUGAUGAGAGAAGUGGCCAUAUUUCUGGUGUCAGACUUGAGAAGACAAAGCUCAUAGGUAAUUUAUCCUUCAUAAAUGUGUGAUGUUAAAUUUUUUAUGUAUUUUCAGUGCAAUGAACGCAGCAGUUGAUCACUGGAUGUCUGGACUAUAGAUUCGUAUUGUACCGUAGUAUAACAGAAGAGGUCAAUCAAGUUAACGUGAAAGCUGUUAAUAACAUUAGUAAAUGAUCUAUAUGAUUAGCUGUCCAAAACUCCAAAUUAUAGUGAUAAAUCUGCUUCCUUCACUUUAAACUGUAGUGUGAACCCUGGAGAACUAAUGCCUGCGCGUACUGGACAGUUUGAAGAUCUUGGAUGCGGGUAUACUCUCUAAAUUUCAAGCUUUGUCUAUCUCCUACCAGUCACAGAUACGUGUAAUGUGUGUUAGUUGCAUAUGUUGGACCCCCUAAAGGUAGGUAGGUGUGUGUGUGUGUGAUGAAUCAUGAUGUGGUACUCACAACUGUGUAUUUCUUCUCUCUGUAGAAUCGUUCUAAAGAGCAUUGGUUACAAAUCAAAACCAGUUAAUGGCUUACCCUUUGAUAAUCAGAGAAGUAAGCAUUGGUUAUAGCUGAUCUGGAUCUCAGGUGUCCUUUAGAGAUACACUUUAAACAUUCUGAUUGACGGCAUCUUCAAGCAUUAAGUUCAUGCUAAUAUACAAAAUUUCAGGAAUAUUAUUCCACUAACAUGUAUUAUGACAUGCACAUAUUUGUGGGUAGUUCAGUUCAUUUGAAAGUUUGGAGGCAUGAAAGAUCUGUUCCUUAGAAGUUUGGAUCUCAAAAGAACUAUGUUCCUAUGCUCUUCGAUAUUGCCCAAUUAAACUUUAUAUGAAAUGAGAUGACAUGAAAAUUUAUAUGGCUGACAUGCAUAAGAGAAAGAAAUCUGAUCUGACGGCCCUUUCUCGCAGGUGUGGUUCCAAAUGUUAGAGGGCGACUUAUAAGUGAAGCAUCUGGAGAUCAUACACGGCUAGAGAAGGGUUUUUAUGUAUGUGGAUGGUGGAAGAGAGGACCAACUGGGAUCAUUGCUACAAACCUCUAUUGUGCAGAAGAAACUUUAAGUGGUAUUGUACACUACUUGAAAGUAACAAAGAUCAGAUGUAUAUUUGUACAACUUUUCACAAUAGCUUCAAUACAAAACAACAGAAGGUUGAUGUAUUCCCAAAGUUCUUCACAGAGCAUUAUGAACUUUCUCUACUGAUUCCAACGUAUCACAACUCUACUAUUGAAUUAAGCUAACUGAAGCUAGCUACAAGCUAGCAACAACAAAUGUGUCUGAGUUUGACACAUUUGUUGUGGCUAGCUAAAGCUAGCACAUCACAUCUCACUCUGAAAAAUUUUCAAUACAAAAAAAGAAAAUAAAUUGUAGCUCACAGAAAAGAUAGCAACAAGCUAGCACAUCUCAUCAGUGUGAUCCCCCCUCUUCCUUUUGGUUCCGGAAGUUUCACCAGUUUCCCUCUUCCUUUUGGUUCCGGUAGUUUCACCAGUUUUCAUAGUUAAAACUUCUCCUUUGGAAGGCAGUGAGGUAUGGUAGAAGGCUGCAGCAUAAGUUUUAGGGAACAUCUCAUCUUCUUGACGGUAGAUUUCAAUCUUGGAAUUCUCACGCACACUGUAUACCACAAUAACAGCCAUAUUUUCAGCAAGCUACGCUGAACAGUGUGACUAGCUUAAUAGUUUACACAGUUCACAGUUGCAUCUUUCAAUUUCAUAAAAAAAAUGGCGAGGACAUGGUUUUCCAGAACCUUCUCCCCCGGCCCACCGCUUCUCACUCUCCGCGUUUGCAUCGUUGGAAGUGGACCCGCCGGCUUCUACACGGCCGAGAAGGUAAAGCCUUGGAUUCUAGAGGUUUUGUAGAGUUAAGUGAGAGGAACUUGAAGUUUGUGAGUUCAUACAUAAUGUAAUUGAGCAGUAUGAAAUUUUUGAAUGCUUGUUUGUUGAGUGUUUAGCGUCAUUUUGUGCUUCCCACGAUUCGUUCGUUUAGUACCUCUUAUGUUUGAGCUUAUUGUGAUCAGAAAACUUGCAACUGAUUGAAUGCUCAUUCUUUGGAAAUGUCACUCUUGGAUCCUCUGUCACUCUUCCCGAGCUCCGCCAGCUGUAUGAUGUGGUGAGUUUCUAGCUCAAUAAUGCGAAUUCGUUCUUGUUGUGGUUGUUUGUUUG
rnacentral:lncRNA from 1 species